UUUCGGAUACCAAGGUAAUGAAGG
rnacentral:miRNA from 1 species